rnacentral:rRNA from 2 species
UGGGGAGCGGCAGACGGGUGAGUAACGCGUGGGAACGUACCUUUUGCUACGGAAUAACUCAGGGAAACUUGUGCUAAUACCGUAUGUGCCCUUCGGGGGAAAGAUUUAUCGGCAAAGGAUCGGCCCGCGUUGGAUUAGCUAGUUGGUGAGGUAAAGGCUCACCAAGGCGACGAUCCAUAGCUGGUCUGAGAGGAUGAUCAGCCACACUGGGACUGAGACACGGCCCAGACUCCUACGGGAGGCAGCAGUGGGGAAUAUUGGACAAUGGGCGCAAGCCUGAUCCAGCCAUGCCGCGUGAGUGAUGAAGGCCCUAGGGUUGUAAAGCUCUUUCACCGGUGAAGAUAAUGACGGUAACCGGAGAAGAAGCCCCGGCUAACUUCGUGCCAGCAGCCGCGGUAAUACGAAGGGGGCUAGCGUUGUUCGGAUUUACUGGGCGUAAAGCGCACGUAGGCGGACUUUUAAGUCAGGGGUGAAAUCCCGGGGCUCAACCCCGGAACUGCCUUUGAUACUGGAAGUCUUGAGUAUGGUAGAGGUGAGUGGAAUUCCGAGU